rnacentral:lncRNA from 1 species
GGGGGGUGUUGCUUAGCAAGCAGAGCUGUACCUCCUGCAGGGAGGCACCACUUGCAGAGGAACGGUGAGGGCCAGGCAGGGGUGAUGCGUAGGGGGUGCACCCCCUACAAAAAGGCACCACCAACACUGUUGGCAGUGCCUGCUCACCACCCGGCUGCCAACACCGUGUGCGGGCAGUCCACAGUUCCCACUGGCUGCUGCCAUCACUGCCCUCUGGCCUGUUUGCACAGCUUCUAGCUCCUUUUUACCUAGAGGAAAAAUGUGUGUAAUGCUAUAGGGGAUAAUGUACUGCAGCACAGCAUGUGGCUCUCUGCCCUUUUCAAAAUCCUAGAUCUGCUCACGGGGGGGGGGGGGGAAUUAACCCUUUAGUGGGCCCUAAGCAAACAAACGCUUGGGCCCCUAUUUCAUACUGUAUAUUUAUCUUACAUUUCCUACUCGAUAGUUCUAUGUAACAUAAGCAUCUUCCUCACUCAGGGCUCUGGGCACGUGCCUAGUUUGCCUACGUGUCAAUCCUGCCCCGCUGUUCAUGCGGCUCCCUGCCUCUCCAGGCCAGCGUCAGCUCUGAGGUCUUCGCGGACACGGAAGCAGAAGAGGCUGACGAGGAAGGGGCUGCCGCAGCGGCAAAGCAGGAAGGCCGCUUUUGUGGCUCAGGCCGAGCCCGGUGCCCACUGGACUCAGCUCCCAGCCCCGGCCAGAUUCAUCCCGGACUUCAUCCGCCGGCUCCGGGCGAGGACGAGGCAGCCGGAGCCUGCCAGAGCCCCGGGGCGGGCGCUGCGCCCAAGUACCCGCUGCGGCCGCGAGGGGGCGCUGCAGCACAGACACGCGAGGCCGGAGUCCGCGUUCCGCACCCGCGUCCGCCAGGCCCCGCGCCGCCGCUCCUGGGAUCGCCGCCGAUUGUUAUAAAAAAAAGAGGAAGAUAGACAGUCAUGUCUUCUGAAGCAACCCAGAAUAAGGUUCAGAUGUCUGCGCUACAACAAAACGAACAGGUAAGUUGUGGUUGCUUCCAUUUGCUGUUUAAUGAUAUCACUAGCCAAUGACUGGGAUUGUUGUGCUGUCACUAGCUGGUGAAAAGGUGAAUAGCUAUGUGUUAACAGAUGAUGUUGCAGGAAUAAAUGCAGGAGAGGAGGGGAAUUCUACUAUUCC